GACGAACGCUGGCGGCGUGCUUAACACAUGCAAGUCGAACGGUAAGGCCCUUCGGGGUACACGAGUGGCGAACGGGUGAGUAACACGUGGGUGAUCUGCCCUGCACUUCAGGAUAAGCCUGGGAAACUGGGUCUAAUACCGGAUAGGACCACUGCCUGCAGGGGUGGUGGUGGAAAGUUUUUGCGGUGUGGGAUGGGCCCGCGGCCUAUCAGCUUGUUGGUGGGGUGAUGGCCUACCAAGGGGACGACGGGUAGCCGGCCUGAGAGGGUGACCGGCCACACUGGGACUGAGAUACGGCCCAGACUCCUACGGGAGGCAGCAGUGGGGAAUAUUGCACAAUGGGCGCAAGCCUGAUGCAGCGACGCCGCGUGAGGGAUGACGGCCUUCGGGUUGUAAACCUCUUUCAGUAGGGACGAAGCGCAAGUGACGGUACCUACAGAAGAAGGACCGGCCAACUACGUGCCAGCAGCCGCAGUAA
rnacentral:rRNA from 1 species